rnacentral:rRNA from 1 species
ACGCUGAGGAGCGAAAGCGUGGGGAGCGAACAGGAUUAGAUACCCUGGUAGUCCACGCCGUAAACGGUGGGUACUAGGUGUGGGUUUCCUUCCUUGGGAUCCGUGCCGUAGCUAACGCAUUAAGUACCCCGCCUGGGGAGUACGGCCGCAAGGCUAAAACUCAAAGAAAUUGACGGGGGCCCGCACAAGCGGCGGAGCAUGUGGAUUAAUUCGAUGCAACGCGAAGAACCUUACCUGGGUUUGACAUGCACAGGACGCCGGCAGAGAUGUCGGUUCCCUUGUGGCCUGUGUGCAGGUGGUGCAUGGCUGUCGUCAGCUCGUGUCGUGAGAUGUUGGGUUAAGUCCCGCAACGAGCGCAACCCUUGUCUCAUGUUGCCAGCGGGUAAUGCCGGGGACUCGUGAGAGACUGCCGGGGUCAGCUCGGAGGAAGGUGGGGAUGACGUCAAGUCAUCAUGCCCCUUAUGUCCAGGGCUUCACACAUGCUACAAUGGCCGGUACAAAGGGCUGCGAUGCCGCGAGGUUAAGCGAAUCCUUUUAAAGCCGGUCUCAGUUCGGAUCGGGGUCUGCAACUCGACCCCGUGAAGUCGGAGUCGCUAGUAAUCGCAGAUCAGCACGCUGCGGUGAUACG